GAGUUUGAUCUUGGCUCAGAUUGAACGCUGGCGGCAUGCCUUACACAUGCAAGUCGAACGGCAGCACGGGAGCUUGCUCCUGGUGGCGAGUGGCGAACGGGUGAGUAAUGCAUCGGAACGUAUCCUGGAGUGGGGGAUAACGUAGCGAAAGUUACGCUAAUACCGCAUAUUCUGUGAGCAGGAAAGCGGGGGGACCUUCGGGGCCUCGCGCUCUUGGAGCGGCCGAUGUCGGAUUAGCUAGUUGGUGAGGUAAAGGCUCACCAAGGCGACGAUCCGUAGCAGGUCUGAGAGGAUGAUCUGCCACACUGGAACUGAGACACGGUCCAGACUCCUACGGGAGGCAGCAGUGGGGAAUUUUGGACAAUGGGGGCAACCCUGAUCCAGCCAUGCCGCGUGAGUG
rnacentral:rRNA from 1 species